rnacentral:rRNA from 1 species
UACGGAGGGUGCAAGCGUUAUCCGGAUUCACUGGGUUUAAAGGGUGCGUAGGAGGGCAGGUAAGUCAGUGGUGAAAUCCCCCGAGCUUAACUUGGGAACUGCCGUUGAUACUAUCUGUCUUGAAUGUUGUGGAGGUGAGCGGAAUAUGUCAUGUAGCGGUGAAAUGCUUAGAUAUGACAUAGAACACCAAUUGCGAAGGCAGCUCGCUACACAAUUAUUGACUCUGAUGCACGAAAGCGUGGGGAUCAAACAGG